rnacentral:tRNA from 1 species
AUAUAUUUUUAUAUAAAUAUAUUUUCCCAUAGAUGGGAUAUAUUCCACUAUUGAUAAAGGUGGUAUAUAUAUU